rnacentral:lncRNA from 1 species
ACCUGAUGAUAAUUACUCACUCCUUCAUCCUGAGAAAGGAUCUUGGCUAUGAAAAAAAAUGGAUCACUAGCUUGCGCAGCAAAUUGAAUGAAACUUUUGUCCGAAGUAAACAUUUCAGUCUGGUGUUCGUUAUACCAUUUAAGGGCAUCAUCUAAGUUCGAGAACUUUUGAUACUUAAAGGCUGCAGCACAUGCUAAGUGUUGACUGAGAUUCUUUUUUUCCGGCAGGUGGUUUUGUGCUUGAGGUUGAGGAUGAUCGGCAGAAAAGAGUAAUAAACUUUUUGACAAAUCACGCUCAUGAAAAUGC